GUCUAUGGCCAUGCCACCCUGAACGUGCCCAGUUUUGUCUCAUCUCGGAAGCUAAGCAGGGCUGGGCCUGGUUAGUACUUGGAUGGGAGACCACCUAGGAAUGCCAGGUGCCAUAGGCA
rfam:Pteropus alecto contig38617, whole genome shotgun sequence.